UAUAUUAUCUUUGGCAUUACCUUAAACAUUAUUUAUUAUUUUCUGUGACAAGGCUCCCUUUUAAGAUUGCAGGUGCAGUCUUUAUUAAUAUCUGUGGUGCAGUUGCAGUAUUUCAGUGCACAUUUUAUUAUUAUGGCUCAUAUUUUGGUACUUGAUGCGAUACAACAAGAUAUUUUUGUUUGUGGUUUAUGUAAAGUUGUAUACAAUUCCUUACAUCUUUUCUUGGAUCAUAAAAAAAAGUCCUGUGGAAAUGAGAAAGAACUUCAUGUUAAUAAAUCGUCAACAGUUAUUUCAAAUCUCGUAAAACCAGCCGGUGUAGAACCAUUAGUAACCGAGAAAACAAUUUGCGAAGCACCCGUUACAAAUACUUGGAAUAAGGAAGACCAAACUUCAUACAAGGAUAUAAAUUGUAAAUAUUGUAAGAAGAAGUUUAGGAAAGUUAAAACAUUAUUAACUCAUUUAAAAUCACACUCUGAUAAUCCUUAUCAAUGUCCUGUAUGUGGCCGGUGUUUUGUACAAAAUUCACAUUUACAAAGGCAUAUUUUGUGUCAUAAAGUUUGGCCUGAUGGUCUUAGUGAGACAACAGCAAAAAACUCUGAGGCUGAUUUACUAUGUUACUCAUGUUCCUAUUGCAGCACAAUAUUGUCCAAUUAUACGCAAUUCAGGUCUCAUUUGAAAAUUCACACAUCACUAAAAAAAUUUAAAUGCAUUCAAAGUGAAUGUGAAUGUUUUUAUGAUACUGUUGAAAGCUUGUUGAAUCAUAUUUCUUUAAGUCAUAAAAAUCCUACUUAUUCAUGUUACAUAUGUGUAAAAUCUUUUGAUUCAUUGGAAAAUAUUGCCGUUCAUUAUCAAAAUCACAAUACUUUAAAAGUUGAUGCUGUGGAAUCAAAACUUUACAAAUGCUCCCAGUGCGAUGCUACAUUCAAAAGGCCUGAAAAAUUGUCUUUGCAUAGACUUACAGAAUCUCAUAAAAAGAUUUGCUUACAUUGUAACAAAACAUUUGCAAGUGACAAAAGAUUACGCUUGCAUCUUCAAAUUCACAGGAAAUUGAAGUCUUUCAAAUGUGAUUUGUGUAAUAGCAGCUUCCUCAUGAAAAAGUACUUGACAUCACAUAUGCUAAAACAUGGGGACAGACAAUUCACUUGUUCCAUAUGUAACUACACAUUCAAGAGGCAAGAUCUAUUGCAAAGGCACAUGAGAUUGCAUCAGACAAAAAACCAACUGAAAUGCCCUUUCAGAGAUACCUUAGAUUGCAAGAAGGAGUUCACUCGAACUGAUAAAUUAAAAUUGCAUAUUAAAUUUCACACUAAACAUGAGUCUGGAAAUGCUGUCAACUUAAAGUCAGCAAGUGGCAAUGAUGGUGGAACAGUUGAAAUAUGCAUUCUCCCUUUAGACAGUAAAAACAGUGAUAAUGAGGAAGUUUGAACAUAUUAGCAUGUUUUAUUUGUUUUUGUUCCAGAGGCUAAGUAUGAUACAAAACCUUCAGCAGUAAAAUAAGCUUCUUUAAAAAAAAUCAGAAACCUGUUGUUCCGAGGUGAGAACCGAGACAAACAGUCAGCCCAUAUUUAACAUUAUGGUGGGGAGUUGCAACUGGGACUGAAAUUCAAUACAAGCUAGAAAAUUUCGAGUAACUGAUCAGGUUUAUCUUGAUAUACACAGUGAGGAGAAGCAUUUGGGAAGAGUGGUGAUUGGAUUGUUUGGGGAUUUGGCCCCAAGAGCUGUGAAGAAUUUUAAAGUUCUUGCUACUAAGGG